GUGAGGAAUAUUGGUCAAUGGGCGAGAGCCUGAACCAGCCAAAUCGCGUGAAGGAUGAAGGUAUUAUGUAUUGUAAACUUCUUUUAUCGGGGAAUAAAGUGCGGGACGUGUCCCGUUUUGUAUGUACCCGAAGAAUAAGGAUCGGCUAACUCCGUGCCAGCAGCCGCGGUAAUACGGAGGAUCCAAGCGUUAUCCGGAUUUAUUGGGUUUAAAGGGUGCGUAGGCGGACUGUCAAGUCAGCGGUGAAAGUCCAUGGCUCAACCAUGGAAUUGCCGUUGAAACUGUCGGUCUUGAGUGUAGAUGAGGUAGGCGGAAUUCGUAGUGUAGCGGUGAAAUGCUUAGAUAUUACGAAGAACUCCAAUUGCGUAGGCAGCUUACCAGGCUACAACUGACGCUGAGGCACGAAGGUGCGGGGAUCAAACAGGAUUAGAUACCCCAGUAGUCC
rnacentral:rRNA from 1 species